rnacentral:rRNA from 1 species
UGGGCGAGAGCCUGAACCAGCCAAGUAGCGUGCAGGAUGACGGCCCUAUGGGUUGUAAACUGCUUUUGUAUGGGGAUAAAGUCAAUCACGUGUGAUUGUUUGCAGGUACCAUACGAAUAAGGACCGGCUAAUUCCGUGCCAGCAGCCGCGGUAAUACGGAAGGUCCGGGCGUUAUCCGGAUUUAUUGGGUUUAAAGGGAGCGUAGGCUGGAGAUUAAGUGUGUUGUGAAAUGUAGACGCUCAACGUCUGACUUGCAGCGCAUACUGGUUUCCUUGAGUACGCACAACGUUGGCGGAAUUCGUCGUGUAGCGGUGAAAUGCUUAGAUAUGACGAAGAACUCCGAUUGCGAAGGCAGCUGACGGGAGCGUAACUGACGCUGAAGCUCGAAGGUGCGGGUAUCGAACAGGAUUAGAUACCCUGGUAGUCCGCACAGUAAACGAUGGAUGCCCGCUGUUGGUACCUGGUAUCAGCGGCUAAGCGAAAGCAUUAAGCAUCCCACCUGGGGAGUACGCCGGCAACGGUGAAACUCAAAGGAAUUGACGGGGGCCCGCACGAGCGGAGGAACAUGUGGUUUAAUUCGAUGAUACGCGAGGAACCUUAC